rnacentral:rRNA from 1 species
GACGAGCGCUGGCGGCGUGCUUAACACAUGCAAGUCGAGCGGUAAGGCCCUUUCGGGGGUACACGAGCGGCGAACGGGUGAGUAACACGUGGGUGACCUGCCCUCAGCUCUGGGAUAAGCCCGGGAAACUGGGUCUAAUACCGGAUAUGACUCCAUGACGCAUGUUGUGGGGUGGAAAGCCUUGUGCGGCUGAGGAUGGGCCCGCGGCCUAUCAGCUUGUUGGUGGGGUGAUGGCCUACCAAGGCGACGACGGGUAGCCGGCCUGAGAGGGCGACCGGCCACACUGGGACUGAGAUACGGCCCAGACUCCUACGGGAGGCAGCAGUGGGGAAUCUUGCGCAAUGGGCGAAAGCCUGACGCAGCGACGCCGCGUGAGGGAUGACGGCCU